rnacentral:rRNA from 1 species
UACGGGAGGCAGCAGGAGCGAAUGCUUCCGCAAUGGGCGAAAGCCUGACGGAGCAACGCCGCGUGAGUGAUGAAGGUCUUCGGAUCGUAAAACUCUGUUAUUAGGGAAGAACAAAUGUGUAAGUAACUAUGCACGUCUUGACGGUACCUAAUCAGAAAGCCACGGCUAACUACGUGCCAGCAGCCGCGGUAAUUA